AAUGCAUAGGAAUUUGCCUUGAAGUGGGGGAUAGCCCGGAGAAAUCCGGAUUAAUACCGCAUGCGCUCUACGGAGCAAAGCGGGCCUCUUCUUGAAAGCUCGCGCUUUGAGAUAAGCCUAUGUCGGAUUAGCUUGUUGGUAGGGUAAUGGCCUACCAAGGCGACGAUCCGUAGCUGGUUUGAGAGGAUGAUCAGCCACACUGGGACUGAGACACGGCCCAG
rnacentral:rRNA from 1 species